UGGGGAAUAUUGCACAAUGGGCGCAAGCCUGAUGCAGCCAUGCCGCGUGUAUGAAGAAGGCCUUCGGAUUGUAAAGUACUUUCAGUCGGGAGGAAGGUGGUAAGGUUAAUAACCUUAUCAAUUGACGUUACCGACAGAAGAAGCACCGGCUAACUCCGUGCCAGCAGCCGCGGUAAUACGGAGGGUGCAAGCGUUAAUCGGAAUUACUGGGCGUAAAGCGCACGCAGGCGGUUGAUUGAGUCAGAUGUGAAAUCCCCGGGCUUAACCCGGGAAUUGCAUCUGAUACUGGUCAGCUAGAGUCUUGUAGAGGGGGGUAGAAUUCCAUGUGUAGCGGUGAAAUGCGUAGAGAUGUGGAGGAAUACCGGUGGCGAAGGCGGCCCCCUGGACAAAGACUGACGCUCAGGUGCGAAAGCGUGGGGAGCAAACAGG
rnacentral:rRNA from 1 species